AGAGUUUGAUCCUGGCUCAGAUUGAACGCUGGCGGCAUGCCUUACACAUGCAAGUCGAACGGCAGCGCGGGGCAACCUGGCGGCGAGUGGCGAACGGGUGAGUAAUAUAUCGGAACGUGCCCUGGAGUGGGGGAUAACGCAGCGAAAGUUGCGCUAAUACCGCAUACGAUCUAAGGAUGAAAGCAGGGGACCGCAAGGCCUUGUGCUCCUGGAGCGGCCGAUAUCUGAUUAGCUAGUUGAUGGGGUAAAGGCCUACCAAGGCAUCGAUCAGUAGCUGGUCUGAGAGGACGACCAGCCACACUGGAACUGAGACACGGUCCAGACUCCUACGGGAGGCAGCAGUGGGGAAUUUUGGACAAUGGGCGAAAGCCUGAUCCAGCAAUGCCGCGUGAGUGAAGAAGGCCUUCGGGUUGUAAAGCUCUUUUGUCAGGGAAGAAACGGUGCGGGC
rnacentral:rRNA from 1 species